UACGUAGGCAGCGAGCGUUGUUCGGAAUUACUGGGCGUAAAGAGUGUGUAGGCGGUGCUCUAAGUUCGGUGUGAAAUCUCCCGGCUUAACUGGGAGGGUGCGCCGGAAACUGGAGUGCUCGAGCGUGGGAGAGGAAAGCGGAAUUCCUGGUGUAGCGGUGAAAUGCGUAGAUAUCAGGAGGAACACCUGCGGUGUAGACGGCUUUCUGGACCAUUGCUGACGCUGAGACACGAAGGCGUGGGGAGCGAACAGG
rnacentral:rRNA from 1 species